rnacentral:rRNA from 1 species
CGGCGUUAGAGGUGAAAUUCUUGGACCGCCGCAAGACGGACGGCUGCGAAAGCGUUUGCCAAGAAUGUUUUCGUUAAUCAAGAACGAAAGUCAGAGGUUCGAAGACGAUCAGAUACCGUCCUAGUUCUGACCGUAAACGAUGCCGACCGGCGAUCCGCGGGCGUUGUUCGAAUGACCCGGCGGGCAGCCCCCGGGAAACCGCGAGUGUGUGGGUUCCGGGGGAAGUAUGGUCGCAAGGCUGAAACUUAAAGGAAUUGACGGAAGGGCACCACCAGGAGUGGAGCCUGCGGCUCAAUUCGACUCAACGCGGGACAUCUCACGAGGCCCGAACGCCGCAGGAUUGACAGAUUGAGAGCUCUUUCUCGAUUCGGUGGGUGGUGGUGCAUGGCCGUUCUUAGUUGGUGGAGCGAUUUGUCUGGUUAAUUCCGAU